GACGAACGCUGGCGGCGUGCUUAACACAUGCCAGUCGAACGCUGAAGCUCAGCUUUUGUUGGGUGGAUGAGUGGCGAACGGGUGAGUAACACGUGAGUAACCUGCCUCCUUCUUUGGGAUAACGCCCGGAAACGGGUGCUAAUACUGGAUAUUCACUGGUCUUCGCAUGGGGGUUGGUGGAAAGGGUUUUUCUGGUGGGGGAUGGGCUCGCGGCCUAUCAGCUUGUUGGUGGGGUGAUGGCCUACCAAGGCUUUGACGGGCAGCCGGCCUGAGAGGGUGACCGGUCACAUUGGGACUGAGAUACGGCCCAGACUCCUACGGGAGGCAGCAGUGGGGAAUAUUGCACAAUGGGCGCAAGCCUGAUGCAGCGACGCCGCGUGAGGGAUGGAGGCCUUCGGGUUGUGAACCUCUUUCGCUCAUGGUCAAGCCGCAACAAUGGUUGUGGUGAGGGUAGUGGGUAAAGAAGCGCCGGCUAACUACGUG
rnacentral:rRNA from 1 species